GACAGGGGGUGCAAACGUUGCUCGGAAUUACUGGGCGUAAAGCGCACGUAGGCGGUCCCGUAAGUCGGGUGUGAAAGCCCUUGGCUCAACCAAGGAACUGCGCCCGAUACUGCGGGGCUUGAGGACGGGAGGGGAGAGUGGAAUUCCUGGUGGAGCGGUGAAAUGCGUAGAUAUCAGGAGGAACACCGGUGGCGAAGGCGACUCUCUGGUCCGUUCCUGACGCUGAGGUGCGAAAGCUAGGGGAGCAAACGGG
rnacentral:rRNA from 1 species